CUCAGUCAUGUUGACACUGGUCUACUAACAGGUCAUGUGUCUCCUCAGUCAUGUUGACACUGGUCUACUACCAGGUCAUGUGUCUCCUCAGUCAUGUUGACACUGGUCUACUACCAGGUCAUGUGUCUCCUCAGUCAUGUUGACACUGGUCUACUACCAGGUCAUGUGUCUCCUCAGUCAUGUUGACACUGGUCUACUACCAGGUCAUGUGUCUUCUCAGUCAUGUUGACACUGGUCUACUACCAGGUCAUGUGUCUCCUCAGUCAUGUUGACACUGGUCUACUACCAGGUCAUGUGUCUCCUCAGUCAGGUUGACACUGGUCUACUACCAGGUCAUGUGUCUCCUCAGUCAUGUUGACACUGGUCUACUACCAGGUCAUGUGUCUCCUCAGUCAUGUUGACACUGGUCUACUACCAGGUCAUGUGUCUCCUCAGUCAUGUUGACACUGGUCUACUACCAGGUCAUGUGUCUCCUCAGUCAUGUUGACACUGGUCUACUACCAGGUCAUGUGUCUCCUCAGUCAGGUUGACACUGGUCUACUACCAGGUCAUGUGUCUCCUCAGUCAUGUUGACACUGGUCUACUACCAGGUCAUGUGUCUCCUCAGUCAGGUUGACACUGGUCUACUACCAGGUCAUGUGUCUCCUCAGUCAUGUUGACACUGGUCUACUACCAGGUCAUGUGUCUUCUCAGUCAUGUUGACACUGGUCUACUACCAGGUCAUGUGUCUUCUCAGUCAUGUUGACACUGGUCUACUACCAGGUCAUGUGUCUUCUCA